AUCCAGCUGGUGAGUCGAAAAUAGAAUGAAACGCGCAUCCUGGAU
rnacentral:hammerhead_ribozyme from 1 species